UACGUAGGUGGCAAGCGUUGUCCGGAUUUACUGGGCGUAAAGAGCGCGCAGGCGGUCGUAUAAGUCGAAUGUGAAAGCCCCCGGCUCAACUGGGGAGGGUCAUUCGAUACUGUUCGACUCGAAGGCAGGAGAGGGAAGUGGAAUUCCGGGUGUAGUGGUGAAAUGCGUAGAUAUCCGGAGGAACACCAGUGGCGAAGGCGACACGCUGGGCCUGGCCUGACGCUCAGACGCGAAAGCAUGGGGAGCGAAC
rnacentral:rRNA from 1 species